AUCAGAUUCAGUCCUCCUAAGCUGGUGGAAACUUCGGAAGUGGACGGUCAAAAAAAGGCAGCUUGCUGCUUUUCUCUCUUUGGAUUUUGCCAUUUUCACAAUUUGCAAUUUGCGUUUGCAUCUCGUGCUGACCAACCUUUGGAUUAUCAAUAAGAAAAGUAUAGGACUUGAAUAAGGGAGGGAGGCAGGAGAUUCCACAAUUCUUGGGAUAUUCUUGUGGUUUUAAAUCCCAUCUGUAAGUCAAUCCAUUCUCUCUACAUUAUUAAAUUCCUAAUGUUGUUCUAAUUCUUGCCUUUUUUUGGUUCUCUGUUUGGAUUUCUUUCAUGAGCUGUUAUGGUUGAUUGUGGUUAUUAAAGUUAUUCUCUUGAUUUUGUUGCCACCUUGGAGGAUGAUUUGAUUGCUUAGUGCUUAUAAAUUAUAAUUUGCAUUUGUUUGUUUUUUGAAUAUAUUUACCUGGGUUUGUAAUAGAAAGCUCUAAACGGUAAUUGGGUUUCACUGAUAUGUGAUUAAUGACUUUUAGCGUUCUAUUACUUGCUUGCUUGACUUGGAAUUAGAAAUUAAGCACUGUUAUAAUUUGAUUGGAGUCUCGUACAUGUCUGUCUAACAGUUGUUUUAUGAAAUUUUGUAACUGGGUGGUUGUUUGUUUACACCAUGUACUAGAUUAAGCUGUAGUUUAUUGUUUCACUUAACAAAAGCACUUGAAAACUUUACUCAUCUUUGUGGUGAGUAAUGGAGAUUUCGUUGUAGAACAAUUCAGUUGGUCAUUUUCACUCUUAGCUUAGCGCAUGAUUUUUCUCACUGAUAUGAUUCAAUCUUGAAUAUUUGUAUCUAAUGUAUUUUCUGUCCUCUAUAAUACAUCCUUCUGCACUUUAGCAGAAAAUUUUGGAAAUUUGAGUAGUAUAGUUCAACAACAAAUCUACUUCUAGCACAACAUAAAAGAGAGAGAGAGAACAAAAUCAAAUAAACUCCCAUUUUGCAUUCAUUUCAG
rnacentral:misc_RNA from 1 species